AGAAAAGAGCUGUAUUCACAUGGGAUGCUGUUUUAGCUAAUGGGUCCUUUCUCUCUCUCUCUCCUCUUUCUGUCUCUUAAUUCAACCGACAAUUAUGAGCUUUGAAUCAUAAAGUUAAAAGAGUGGACUGAAGAAAAAAAAAGAAUAAUUCUUCUUCUUCUUCUGCCUUCUUUCUUCUUUCCCUUUUCUUGUUUUUUUUUUCCAAUUUUUUCUUUGAUUUGGAGCUGGGAAAUUAUGGCUGAUGAUAAGGAGAUGUCUGCUCCUGUUAUGGAUGUGAAUGGUGCAGUCACUGGUCAUAUAAUUUCCACUACUAUUGGAGGAAAAAAUGGCGAGCCAAAGCAGACAGUCAGUUACAUGGCUGAACGUGUUGUGGGGACUGGAUCAUUUGGAGUUGUUUUUCAGGCAAAAUGCCUGGAAAAUGGGGAGACGGUUGCAAUAAAGAAGGUUCUACAAGAUCGUAGAUACAAGAAUCGUGAACUGCAGUUGAUGCGCACUAUGGAUAACCCAAAUGUUGUUUCGUUAAAACAUUGCUUCUAUUCAACUACUAGUAAAAAUGACUUUUUCUCAAUUUGGUCAUGGAAUAUGUUCCGGAGACCAUGUAUCGCAUGUUGAAGCAUUACAGCAAUAUGAACCAAAGAAUGCCCCUCAUCUAUGUGAAGCUUUACACAUAUCAAGUAUUCAGAGGGCUGGCAUAUAUGCACACUGUUGCUGGCGUUUGCCACAGAGAUUUGAAACCUCAGAAUAUAUUGGUAGACCCUGUUACCCACCAAGUGAAAAUUUGUGAUUUUGGAAGUGCAAAAGUGCUGAUUAAAGGUGAAGCAAACAUCUCAUACAUCUGCUCACGGUUUUAUCGGGCUCCUGAACUCAUAUUUGGUGCAACAGAGUAUACGACCUCUAUUGACAUCUGGUCAGCUGGUUGUGUCCUUGCAGAGCUUCUCCUAGGCCAGCCAUUAUUUCCAGGAGAAAACGCUGUCGAUCAGCUUGUUGAAAUAAUCAAGGUACUUGGAACACCAACAAGGGAGGAAAUUCGUUGUAUGAAUCCAAAUUACACUGAUUUUCGGUUUCCACAAAUCAAAGCACACCCUUGGCAUAAGGUAUUUCACAAACGGAUGCCGCCUGAAGCUAUUGACCUUGCUUCACGUCUAUUGCAGUACUCACCUAGUCUUCGUUGCAAUGCACUUGAAGCAUGUGCUCAUCCUUUCUUUGAUGAGCUUCGAGAACCCAAUGCACGCCUUCCCCAUGGCCGGUCAUUGCCGCCUCUUUUCAAUUUUAAGCAGGAGUUGGCUGGUGCCUCUCCAGACCUCAUUAACAGGUUGAUACCAGAUCAUAUAAAAAAGCAAAUGGGACUGCAUCUUUUCACGACUCGCGAUGACAUGACGUGAAAGCACAUGUUUAGUGGAGUAUACCGGUUGAUGAUCUAUCUACAUCAAGAGAUCCGAGUUUAUAUUCUGCUCAACAGGUUCCACAUGACAAGCUGCAUCUCCUUGUCGACGAGAGGACAAAGUAAAGGGUUGCUGUGUAUUUUAAUCCUUGGUGGUGGUAUUGUCUUUUUUCAUUCCACUCUUCGAGUAUCUCUCUCUCUUCUCUUACCGGCCGACUAGUGUAAGGAAGGUUCUUUUUUUGUACAUGUUUGGUAGUAGUAAAUUGACCAGAAAGCUCCCACCAUCAUACAAAUGAAAUGUAUUUUUUUUAAAAUGAAUAGCAAAGGAAUUAAGGGGCUGUUUAAUUUCUUGUAAAAUUUGAUCUGUGUUCUGUUUGUAUUUAUUUUAUUUUAUUUUUACUCUCUGCUAACGUUUGUUACUUUUAUGAAAAGAGCUGCAAGGAAAUGAUGAUCACUGUAUGUGCUCAACAUUAGUGGAUUUUCUAUUUUAUUCCCUCUACUUUCUGGGCAAGUCUAUCAAAGUCGAGUGGAGAGGGGAUGUUUAUUUACGGUUGUUGUAGUAACACUUUUCAUUUCCUAUUCUGUCUUUCAAUAAGAAGUCAGACUUAAUUGA